rnacentral:rRNA from 1 species
GACGAACGCUGGCGGCGUGCUUAACACAUGCAAGUCGAACGGAAAGGCCCUGCUUUUGUGGGGUGCUCGAGUGGCGAACGGGUGAGUAACACGUGAGUAACCUGCCCUUGACUUUGGGAUAACUUCAGGAAACUGGGGCUAAUACCGGAUAGGAGCUCCUGCUGCAUGGUGGGGGUUGGAAAGUUUCGGCGGUUGGGGAUGGACUCGCGGCUUAUCAGCUUGUUGGUGGGGUAGUGGCUUACCAAGGCUUUGACGGGUAGCCGGCCUGAGAGGGUGACCGGCCACAUUGGGACUGAGUUACGGCCCAGACUCCUACGGGAGGCAGCAGUGGGGAAUAUUGCACAAUGGGCGGAAGCCUGAUGCAGCAACGCCGCGUGCGGGAUGACGGCCUUCGGGUUGUAAACCGCUUUCGCCUGUGACGAAGCGUGAGUGACGGUAAUGGGUAAAAAAGCACCGGCUAACUACGUG